rnacentral:SRP_RNA from 1 species
GCAUGAUGGAGAGCAUCUGUAAUCCCUUCUACUGGGAGGCUGAGGCAGGAGUAUUGCCUGAGUCCAGGAGUUCUGGGCUAUAGGGCACUAUGACAAUCCACUGGGUACCUGCACUAAGUUCAGCAUCAGUAUGGUGACCUCCUGGGAAUGGGAAACUACCAGGUUGACUAAGGAAGGGUGAACUCACCCAGGUCAAAAUGGAGCAGAUUAAAGCUACCAUGCCAAUCAGUAAUGGGAUCAGGCCUGUGAAUAGCCACUGCACUCCAGUCUGGGCAGCAUAGCGAGACCGGCUCUU